UACGUAGGGGGCAAGCGUUGUCCGGAUUUAUUGGGCGUAAAGAGCGUGUAGGCGGCCUGGCAGGUCUGCUGUGAAAACUCGAGGCUCAACCUCGAGAUGUCGGCGGAAACCGUCUGGCUAGAGUCCGGAAGAGGAGAGUGGAAUUCCUGGUGUAGCGGUGAAAUGCGCAGAUAUCAGGAGGAACACCGGUGGCGAAGGCGGUUCUCUGGGCAUUACCUGACGCUGAGGAGCGAAAGUGUGGGGAGCGAACAGG
rnacentral:rRNA from 1 species